rnacentral:SRP_RNA from 1 species
UGGUAAGUCUUAUACGACCAGCUCCCUUUGAAACUCCCCAGGGCAGGAAUGCAGCAAGGUAAUGAGGUUGUAGCGGUGCGAUAUGAGUAGCUUACCACUU